AUCACAGUUAUGUGAUUAGCACGACCCCAGAUGUUUUGCUAACAUGCAGUAGUGGUGUUUGAUAGACUUUCCACAGCAGUGUUAUGGAAGCAAAAUCAGAUUACUGUGAUGUGACAAGACCAAGAUGUUAAAAUUUUGCAAGCAUACUGAUGUGAUGUGAGCCAGAUUUUUCACAGCAGCGCAGUUGUGAAGUGUUGAUGUGAUUUGUAUUAGACAUAAUGUUCAAGUUUUACUGACAUUCAGCAGUGAUGUGUGAUAGAUUUUCCACACCAUAUUUAUUGAGAGGAAAAAUAGCAGGUAUUUAUUUCACAAGUACUUUGUAGAUAUCUUGAAUUUCAAAAAGCAUUAUGUUAUUUCAGCUUCACAUGUUUGCAUUGCACAAAUACUCUAGAUAUGUUUUUGUGUCAUAAAUACUCUAGAUAAGGCCUAUUCACGUUCAUUUAGAAAAUUUGAAAUGCUUUCCAGUCUUACAUUUUUUCAUUACAUGCAGCUAGAGUAGAGACAAGAUGCAAAUGAUUGAGUUCAAAGUGAUGUGUGCAUCUUAAAUGAACAAUGACAGAAUUACUUAUACCAUUCAAAAUUACAGACUCUUAUUUAGUUCACAUGUAUAUGUAUUGUUUCUCAUUAUGAUAUCUGCCCACAGAAGAGGCAUCUGCCCGUAAAAGAGUCACUAUUA